GGCAGAGAUGUCCCCUCACUGAAGUGACUAGGAUAAUCCUCGUAAGUGCAGUAUGUAAAAUCAACUCAAGGUGCUUCUAGAUUGUGUUGAUGGUCUGGAAAAACAUGCACCUAAAGGCCUUUCCAUAUGUUACCCCUUAAAAAGCUUCUGUUUGUUCGUCUAGGGUGGCAACCACAGUAAUGGAUGGAGAACCCAGCACAUGUCUGAAAACACAAAGUAAAUGUGUACCUUGAUGUUAAGGGGGAGAAAAAGUAACACACCAAAGACUAGGGAGCAAGUCCCAUUACACAAGGUAGGGCUUACUUAUCAGUAGGUAUACUUAGGCUCACACUGCACAGGUGCAAUUCUGCUCCAGUUGAAACCAACCCAAAUACCACUGAUUUCACUGCAGCAGCAUCCUUAAGCCACAGAUUGCUAGUGUUUUUAAGCGAUCUUAACAGAAGGUUGCAUGGUGGCCUCUUCUCUUUUUUAAACCACUGUGCGCUACUGUUUUAAAUAUGUCUGAUCAAAUAGGGCACCCUCCUAUUUUAGAGUAUGAACAAGCCAUCAACUCCUCAGAUAUGGUUUUUUAAAAAAAUUAUGUGGAAAUGCAGGUGUUAAGUCAUUUCUGUCACUCUGUGAGGAAAAGAAGAGAGUGAUGAUUGGUGCGUUUUUUCAGGCUUGAGAUAAUAUCAUGGUCAAGAUUAAUGUCUCGUGCUGAGAAGUUUUGUCACUCGUUCAGGUACAGCCCAUGUGUAUGAGCACAUUUGCACAUGCACGUCUCUGAGUAUUUUAGAUCGCUCAGAGCAGCUUACAACAAUUAAAAUAACGGGCUAUAUAUUUGGCCAGGGGGUACCUCAUUAGUUUUAACAAGGCUACAGCAUGAAUAAUUUCACAGUGUAGUAUUGUGCAGCAUUAGCAUUCAGUUCUGUUUUAAAAAAAUAAAAUAAAAGCACACCUUUGCUGUAUGCCCUCUACUUGUAUUCAACUCAAUGUACCACUGAGGUCCAGUGCCGAGGGCCUUCUGGCAGUUCCCUCGCUACAAAAAGCCAAGUUACAGGGAACCAGGCAGAGGGCCUUCUCGGUAGUGGCACCCACCCUGUGGAACACCCUCCCAUCAGAUGUCAAAGAGAAAAAUAACUACCAAACUUUAGGGAAGUUUAGGGAAGCUUUUAAUGUUUAAUAGGUUAUUGUAUUUUAGUGUUUUGUUGGAAGCCACCCAGAUGGGCUGGGUAUAAAUAAAUAAAUUAUUAUUAUUAUUAUUAUCCAUCAACAACAAGGCCUCAAGGACCGCCUCUCCCCAUAUAAACCACCCCCGACUCUGUGUUCAUCAUCUGAGGCCCUUCUUUGUGUGCCUCCUUCCUGUGAGGUCUGGAGGGUGGCAAUACGAGAAUGGGCCUUUUCUGCAGUGGCUCCGUUUGUGGAAUGCUCUCCCCAGGGAGGUUUGCCUGGCACCUUUAUUAUAUAUUUUUAGGCACCAGGCACAAACUCUUUCACUAGGCCUUAGGCUGAUUAAUAUCCUACAGCCUUUUAAAUGUUUUUUGGGGGAGGGGAUUUUGUUGUUGCUUUUGUUUUAACUAUUUAUUUGUGCUUUUACCUUGCAUUUUUAUCUUAUGAACUACCCUGAGAUCUUAUGACAGAGGGUGGUAUUUAAGUCCAAUAAAUAGAAUAAAUAAAUACUGUACUAAAAUAAUAUUUCAGGGGGAACAAGGCAACAACAGCUACUUGCCAGCAUCGUUUGGUUUACCUCCACUGUUGAAGGCCCUGUGGUUCAGGAUACCAGUUAUGGGAAGUCACAGGACAGGAGAGUGCUGUUGUGCUCAUGUCCUCCUUGCAGCUUUCUCAAUGGCAUCUUGUUAGCUUCUGUGAGAACAGGAUGCUGGACUUGAUGGGCCACUGAGCACUUCUUAUGUUCUGAAGCUAAGCGUUUGAAAAAAAGCCACCUCGUCACCUUACUCAAAGGACAACCAAGCAACAGCAACAGACUUUGGAGUUCUGAUACAAGGUGUAUAGUUGCUUGAAGCCCCAACCCACAGCCCUAUGUGUUUGCGGGGGUCAUAAUAAUAAUAAUUUAUUAUUUAUAUGACGCCCAUCUGACUGUGUUGCCCCAGCCAUUCAGGGCAGCUUCCAGCAAAUUAUAAAACCACAGCAAAAUAUCACACAUUAAAAACUUCCCCAUACAGGGCUGCCUUCAAACGUCUUCUAAAAGUCAGAUAGUUGUUUAUUUCCUUGACAUCUGAUUUGAGGGCAUUCCGCAGGGCGGGCGCCACUACCGAGAAGGCCCUCUGCCUGGUUCCCUGUAACCCCACUUCUUGCAAUGAGGGAACCUCCAGAAGGCCCUUGGAGCUGGACUUCAGGGUUCAGGCUGGAGUGGGGGUGGAAAUUCUCCUUCAGGUAUACAGGGCUGAAGCCAUUUAGGGCUUUAAAGGUGAAUUGUGCUGGGAAACGUCAUCAAGGGAAGACAUUUUGAUCAUGAUCAGCGAUUGUGGGCAUGACUCACUGUUGUGGCAACAGCUUUCCACCUGCAACACUGAAGAAAAAGAUGUGAGGUCCAAUUUGUAAUCAAUGUUUAAUCAAAUGUAAUUAAUUUGUCAUAGUGUUUUGUUAUUUUAAUUGGGUUGGCUCUGUUGUUGAUUUAAAUUAUAAUUUGUAUUAAGAUGUUAAUACAAUAAUGAAAAUCAGAUAUACAGUGUAAAAUAUUGUCUAAACAAGUAAGAUAAAAUAAACAUUGGCGACAUGAUUAAUUUCAGCACAUAUAACAAUUCAUGAGCAAACAGGGGACAAUUAAGGAUAUAAAAGCUUAGAUAAAUUUUAUAAGCUUUUAUAGUCUUAAUCGUCUUAGUCUGAGAAAACUAAUAUUUUCUCCUUUCUCUUCCAGGAAGGAUAAACAAAAGAAAUUAUGAUUGGGAUAAUACCAUGACAGAUAAGGUGCAAAACUAAAAAAAUGAAGAAAAAUGUGUGUGUGUGUGUGUGUGUGUGUGUGUGGAGUGGGGCUUUGUUUUUAAUUAUUGGAGCGAUAUCCAAAUACUUCAUUGAAAUGAGACCUGUUGAAAUCACUGGAUUUACUAAGGCUUUUGAUUCAGUAGGUCUACUCUGAAUACAACUCAUGUUGGAUAUAACCCUUGGGUUUUAUUAUGGAGUGGGGAACCCCUAGUCCACAAAUCAAGAGCAGAUCACUGGAUUCUGCUUCUGGUUAUUCCUCUCACCAGCUGCAGUCCCUUAUUGCCUUGUACUUUUAUUAUAUUUCUUAUUUAGUGGAUUGAAAAAUGGGCAGGAGGACUAUAGAAGCCUCUCGAUUUGCAUAGCUGGAAUGGAGUCUAGGCUACAAAGGUACGAGUCACCUGGCUGCUCCACUCCCACCUGCCUCUGACUCCCAUCAGUCACUGGCAUGCAGCCCCAGAAGGGGGGGGGAGGUCCCCUACAUGGAAAUGUGCCCCUUGUGCCAAAAAAGGUCCCCAGCAACAGUUUUGUAAUAUGCCCCUCCCUAGUAUCAGUACAUAUGAAGGUUGGUCUCCAAAUAUUUUUAACAAUAAAUGUUACGUACUGAAGUUCUCACCCUGGGCCAGCAGGCGGAUACUGUAGAUAGCUGCAAAUAAGGGAUCGAAAGUGACGUUCAGUGAUUGGAUAGUUUUAGAAAGUUGUUACAGUAACGUUGUACUGGAACUCUAUAUAAGCAGGCUGACUGAACCCUUCAGUUCAGUUCUGUCCUGGCCUGUGAAUAAACAAGAGCUGUUUGAAGAAUUGCUGUGUUGUCUGAUAUGUUCACCCACAACUUAACAAUAAACAAGCACACAAGUAAGUCACUGCUGAGGUGUACCCACAAUUGUGAGGCCUGCAGAGAUUAUAAUGAUGCUUCUCCAGCUGUUGCCAUUGGCUACAGACUACCUGUGACAUCACAAAAGUACAUGGCAGCUGAGUGGAUAUGAACACUCUUCCCCAACAGAACACAGCAAGCAACAGCUUUGACGUUCAGUCUUCUUCCACCUGGAGGAGGUGAAUAGGCAGAUGGACGGAGAUGAUCAUCUGGCUGCAGGAUGCUAUGGAGCAAUUAUCAGGCAAGUUCACUUGCAGUGUGGAAUUGUUGCUUGAAGGCAGCUGAUAUCCAUGGUCCAAGCUAGUGGUGAAUGUCCAGUGGUGGACCUAGCGGGUGUUGGUGGGUGGAAGCCAAUGGAGUUCUCAUUUGGAUGUUGCGAAGCUGAAACAGGGCGAUGAUGUUUGUUGAUGUGAGCUGGUUGAAGUUCACCUUCGGAAGCUGAUCGACAGAAGCCUGCGGAUAUUUGUAGGUCGAAGCCAGGGCACUUCCAUGAAUGAACGAGAGCAAAAUGUAAGUGAAUAUGUCUUCUUCGUGAAUAUUGGCUGGCGUAUGCUUCUGUCUGUGGAAAGGAGGUUUUGAAAGUGGGCAAGGCGAAGGGUAGAAGUUGGCAGGAUGAAGUUAGCAGAUGAAGUUGCCAGGCAGAAGCCAGUGGAGGUGCUUCUGGGUGAUGUUGUGGGAUGUAGCCAUCCCCUUGUCACAUCUGUCAUUUUCUUCUUCUGGGGAUCUCUGAAGCCAGGAAUGUGCUUGAAAGCAAUGAAGAGGGAACACAGGGCAGCCUGAAGCCAGCAAGGCUUUCUCAAAACACAGCCACCCCCUGUGAAAGCAAUGAACAGAACUUGCAGAACAGAACUUCUAUUCCCCACCACCACCACCAACUACAUUUAGCGGUAGUGUCUAUUCUAUCUUAUUUUCUCAAAGACGGAUAAUGGAAGGGCAAAUACCUUCACUUGUGGUGUGAAACCGCCACCCCACCCUGAUAUUAGUAUACAUGAAGGGUGGACUGUACAUAUUUUUUAAUGGUAAGCAGUUCGCUCCUAAGAUGCCCCCACAAUGGUCAGGCCUAGGGAGGUUGUGAUGAUGCUCUCAGCUGUUGCCAUUAGCAACAUGCUGCCUCUGAUGUCACAAAAGGACAUGGUGGCUGAAGGAGAAGAGGCAGUUAUUAGGGGGAGUGGGGAAGGAGAGAAAAGCCCCAGGAGAAGGGCCAUGUGCGCUCAGGAGGUGUCUGCCUUUGAUGAUGUGCCACGUCGGCUUGGCAGUUCGGCCUCCUCUGCCCCAUCAAUAGGUAAAGGCAAAGGUACCUUGCCAACAAAGGUCCGUAUAGUAAAAGCUAUGGUUUUCCCAGUGGUGAUGUAUGGAAGUGAGAGCUGGACCAUAAAGAAGGCUGAUCGCCGAAGAAUUGAUGCUUUUGAAUUAUGGUGCUGGAGGAGACUCUUGAGAGUCCCAUGGACUGCAAGAAGAACAAACCUAUCCAUUCUUAAGGAAAUCAGCCCUGAGUGCUCACUGGAAGGACAGAUCCUGAAGCUGAGGCUCUAAUACUUUGGCCACCUCAUGAGAAGAGAAGACUCCCUGGAAAAGACCCUGAUGUUGGGAAAGAUUGAGGGCACAAGGAGAAGGGGACGACAGAGGACGAGAUGGUUGGACAGUGUUCUCGAAGCUACCAGCAUGAAUUUGACCAAACUGAGGGAGGCAGUGGAAGACAGAAGUGCCUGGCGUGCUCUGGUUCAUGGGGUCAUGAAGAGUCGGACACAACUAAAUGACUAAACAACAACAACAAAGGUAAAUGACACCUGGAUGGUUAAGUCCAGUCAAAGGUGACUAUGGGAUGCGGCUCUCAUCUCGCUUUUAGGCCAAGGGAGCUGGCGUUUGUCCACAGACAGCUUUCCGGGUCAUGUGGCCAGCAUGACUAAACUGCUUCUGGUGCAACGGGACAGAAGCGGUACCUAUUUAUCUACUCACACUCAAUAUUGGGGCUAUAGUGAGGGGAAUGACGACACCUCCGCCCCCUAGAGUUGGCGUGCCUGCUCUGAGGUCCAAAGAUAUCUGGUUGCCAUAAAUUUGCCCCGAAGGGAAUGCAGCCUUCAGGAUGAAAAAGCUUCCACACUUCUGCUAUACAAAGAGUUACCUGAGAGUACUUCUUAAUAGACAUGCAUGGGAUUCCUUUGUCAGUUUCUUGCAUAUAGGUCAAUCAACACAGUUUUACUUAGAAGUUUUACAUGUUUACAGUUUUACAUUUUACUUAGAACUCCCACAAACUGACUCCUGGCACUUCCUGCAUAAAGGAAUGCAUGCUACAACAGAAAAUGUUAAAUGAAAGAUUUCUUUUCUGCCGAGUCAUAGGAUCAAAACUUUAAAAUCCACCGAAACAGCUUUAGCGGGAACAGAUAGUGAUGGUUUGAAAUUACAGAAGGAACACAUUUCAGGAUAGUUCUGCAUCAGGGAUUUUGUACAGACUUUUACUCAGUAUUUGUUUGUUUGUUUCCAGACAGGUCAAGUAGAGCAAUUAAAUAAGCUAUAUUCAGAUGCUGCACCAGACACUUGACACAAAUGCACACACCCCAUAAAUCAAGGAAGUCAGCUGUAUUGAUUUCUAGCACCGCUGGCAUUUCCCAACCAGCUUUAGCUGGCCUUUCCUCUGCCAACAAAUUGCGCAUUUAAACCUUCUGUGUGGGUAGACUCAAUAAUGGUUUCUUUCAAGUAAUUCUUGUUGUUACAGACAUAAGAUCUGGCCCUGCCAAGUCAAGGUUAUUUUUUCAUGGAAUAUGUCAUAUGAGCCACCAUGAAGACUGAAGCCCUUUAUCUAUCUUCUACACCCCAGCUAAUUUGCUUUGCAAAUGACCCGGGAAGAUUGCCUCCAUGCAUUCGGGUCUUUCGAUUAUUCACAGGAACCGCAAAGUUAUUUGUUUAUUUGAUUACAGAAAAGAAUGGAGAGUGGAAAUCCCACAAUAACUGUGCUGCCAAGGGAAAAUCUUUAGCAGAGAGGUUAAGCAAACUGUAGGCACAGGGGGAAAUGGUGGACUCACCUGUGGGUCCCACUUUCUGUUGCCAGUCCGCCAUUUUGUCUUCUUUCUUGAGCAUGAGCAGAAGGUGCAUUGGCUUCCCUCUUAACUAAGACUAUGAUGAGUGGAAUGCUGGCUGAAGUGGUUACUGGGAAAAGGGACUCUAGCAUACCCUCCAAGUGUCCCAAUUUUGCCAGAAGAGUCCCGGAAUUACUAAUGCCAUCCCAGCUUCUGGUUGGAUCCUGGAAUGUCUCAAUUCCCCACCAGCACUGCCACUGCCAAGCUCGGGGGACGAGGAUGAGACAGCGCUUGUCCCGAGUGACAAUGACAGCCAUGAUGUCUGUGAGGGAGCAUCCCAUCGCUGCUCCAUGGCCGCAGCCACUGGUCUCCUCCCUUGGGCAGCUUGUCUGGAGAGUGGAUGAAGAGAAUCCUGUGUUUUUCUACUGUGUAUGAUAUGCCAGAAGCCGUUAGCCUGUGCAUAAGACUGGGUAGUCCUACAUGUGUCCCUUUCUUGCCUCAGUGAGCAAGCGGAACAUGGGAUGGGCAGCAAAUCGCCUCCACAAGCUUUUGCAGAGGGGGCUCAGCGAAAUCGAGGGCAGUGGUGGUGUUAAAGCUGCUGUAUGGGGAAGCCCUGAUUCAGAUCCUGCCUGCCUGCCAAGCUAUCCAUGUGGCCAUUCAUCAUUCUACAGUGCUACUCUGCAGGGUUGUUGUGAAGGAGGAGAACAGAGGACCAAUUGCGCCUCACUAAACAUGAUGAAUUAUUAUUAUUAUUCCAGCAAUAGUUAAGUUUAAGAAGGGAGAGUGAGUGAUCUGGGCUGUAUGGAAACAAGCUACUUCUCCCUACCUUGCUUUCAUUCACUGUGAUUCCUACGUUGAAGGGGGUUGGGUCCCUUUCAACUCUACAAUUAUAGGUAGGUAGGUAGGUAGGUGGGUGGGUAUAUGCCUCAUUUGGUUUAAUGGUUUCUUUAAGUAAUCUGGUGAACCGGGUUCGCGUCUCUGCUCCUCCACAUGCAGCUGCUGGGUGACCUUGGGCUAGUCACACUUCUUUGAAGUCUCUCAGCCUCACUCACCUCACAGGGUGUUUUGUUGUGGGGGAGAAAGGGAAAGGAGAAUGUUAGCCGCUUUGAGACUCCUUCGGAUAGUGAUAAAGUGGGAUAUCAAAUCCAAACUCUUCUUCCUCUUCUUCUUUUUCUUCUUCUUUGGGAGGCUGUGUGCAUGUCUUCUCAGAGGUAAGCCCUGCUGAGCCCACUGGAACCUCUUCCUUGAUAAGUAAGUGUAGGAUUGCAACCUGUGAGCAAUCCCCAUUGAACUCAGUCCCCACUGCAUUGCUGGGGUUUGGACUGGAUGGUCUUUAGAGAUCCCUUCCAAUUCUACAAUUCAAUGGUGAACUCAACAAGUCCUGCGGUUUAUUUCAUUUCAUUUUUCUGCUGCAGCUUGCUUUUGCAUGCAUUGCUUUAGAUCAUUUUAAUCAUACCUUUGGGACAGGUUACAGUUUGAUCAUGCCUGAACUUCCCUAGAGGUCCAGUGGGUGGGAGAGGAAAUGGGAGUAGGAAGAGAACGUGCUGUGCUAGACCUUAGAUGGGUAUAAAUGGCUCAUCUGUACCACAGAUGAAUUAUGAGCUUUUGCCCCUCCCCCUGGUAACUUCUCCAUCUCCAGUGGUGCAAUUUGAGUUUGCUUUUGUGACCUAUUUCCCCAAGUCCUGUGGGAGAAGAUGGGUUCUCUUUUGGAAUUAAAGGAGUUUUUUGGUGAGCCUGUUGCUGAAAGUUGAUUUGGAGGCUGGCCAGUUUUUCUUCUUCUCACUUUCUCCAGGGAGGGUGUUAGAUUUAGGACUAGCGUGCAUGGAUAGACUGCAGGGGGAAAAAGAAGUACCGGUACUAUAAUUAUAUUUUUAACAAAGUAAUAACAUAAAAGAGGUAGGGAGAGAUAAUGCCCACCUUGUUAGAGUUCAGAGGUUGACCGUAUCAUGAAAAACUUUAAUAAAAAACUUAACACGCAAAGAGAGAGAGAGAGAGAACCCCCCCCCAGCAGUAACACUGAUGUAGAAUAGAAUGUCCCUAUUUUCAUCUGAGGAAUGUUGGAGGGUAUUCUCUCAUCUCAACCUAGGAAUAUGAGUUCCUCCUAUAUUAUGUUUUUAUAUGUGUUGAAAGCCACACAUGUGUUGGAAGCUGGAUCUGGCCCCUGGGCCUUAGUUUGCCUAUCCAUGCUCUAGUUCAUCAUCCUCAUUUCAAAAGCGUCCAAUCAGAUGCCUCCAGGAAGUCACAUGGGCACAAAAGCAAUAACUCCUGCUGAACAUGGCGGUACUAUACAGCCAUCAUGAUUAAGAGUCACUGAUAGGUCUAUCCACAUUAAUUUGCCCAAUCCAUCUAAGCACAUUCAACAUCAUCAUCACAGCUUGUACCUGUUAAUUAUAUACAUUAAUCAUGCAGUGAAGAAAUGCUUGCCUAGUUACAAUUAUUUAUUUCUCUCUUCGUUGGUGCACGUGCAUUUAUUUGCCUUCUUUUUUUAGAAGCUGUAAUCUUCAGGAAGACAGUGAUUCAGCUUCUUUAACUGAGGUCAACCUAGUCAACUGAAUUUGUGUUUUAUUGUCUUUUAUGUUGUAUCUGUUUUUAUGAUACUGCUGUUUUCAUGUUGUAUUUCUUGCAUACUGCUUAGAGCAGCCUUUCUCAACCUGUGGGUCCCCAGAUGUUGUUGAACUACUACUCCCACCACCCCUAGCUAGCAAGGCCAGAGCUCAGGGAUGAUGGGAGUUGUAGUCCAACAACAUCUGGGGACCCACAGGUUGAGAACCACUGGCUUAGAGGUUAUUACAAAUUAAGUGGUAUAGAAAUGCUUUUAAAUAAAUAAAUGCCUACCGACUAACCUACACACAAGAGCUUUAUCGAAAAGAGGUAAUACCAUAUAUUUUUGCUGGACCAGCUUUGUAGCUGUAGUUAUAUGGAAGCAUCCAAAAUGAAUUUAAUUCUUUGUUGGGUAGAAAAAAUUAGCUAAUAAUAGGUAUAUAGAGAAAUGAAAACUGAUCUCUUAUGCAAUGGUUUCCAUUUCUUACUCACUCUGACCUGUUUUUUUCCUUUCUGGGAUAUAAUAGUAUAUGUGAAAUCACAGCCUCUGUGUUUUGGUUCCUGAAAUGGUCAACUUGACCUACAGACCUAUGAACAUGUGGAGGGAUCUUUUGCAGGUUGUCUCUAGGGGAACCACAAGGUUCUGAGAGAUCUCUUUGCCCAAACCUGAUGGAAUUGCUUUUAACGAAAAGCAAGCUUGUUUUCUCCUGCUCUGGACAGUAGGACUCGAACCAAUGACUUCAAGCUACAAGAAAGGAGAUUCCGAAUAAACAUCUGCAAGAACUUUGACGGUAAGAGCUUGUUCAACAGUGGAAUGGUUGUCAGCAUCCUUGGGUCGAAAGGCCAGCUGGCUAGCCCCCAGCUGGAUUGUCUCCUUCCAGCUGUGCCACUGCGAAGGUCCAUCAACCUCUGGCUCCGACAUAAAUCAGUGACUCAAGCCUCUCAGACUUGAGCACACUAUAUUCAGCAGUAUAAACCACACAAACAGAAGAGGCUGAGGCUGUGGACACAUACUAUGAACUACAGAUUUAUUAAUCAUAAAUCAAGACAAAGAAACACGUCAUCUCUCCUUGCCGACUUCUCAGAGAGAGAAUCCAAACAAAAGCCAUACAGCGGAAGUUCUGCUUACGCCAGCAAACUGUGCAGGAAUGUGAACAGACAUGUGACACGUAACAAUCCCAUGUCUGCAACUAAAGGUGGAAUGGAAAAUCCCAACAAUGGUCUCCCUCAGGAGGUUGUGGAUUCUCCUUCCUUGGAGGUUUUUAAGCAGAGGUUGGAUGGCCAUCUGUCAUGGAUGCUUUAGCUGAGAUUCCUGCAUUGCAGGGGGUUGGACAAGAUGACCCUUGGGGUCCCUUCCAAUUCUACAAUUCUAUGCAAUUCCCUUUCAGUCAAUAAGCUUGCUGGAGACACAGUUUGGCCUUCCUGAUUUUUUCCAAGCGUUCAUAAUCAGCCCCGAGACACCCUUUUGAGACACGCAUUAUUGAUCACAACAUGAGUAUUAUCAGUUUCUUCAGACUUCACUUAUAUCCUCCCGGCAAACCAGACAAUUCAAUUAGAUGAUGUAGAUGAAUGAUCUGUUUUGUAACCAUGACUUAAUGAAAUGCUCUGUCUGCAAGGACAAAGUGUGAAACUUGCUACGUACAAAGUGAUAACAACCUGAAUACCUCUGUUCCCUUGCAUCAUAAAUAAAGGCAGCCACAUUUCUUCAUUAUGUGUAACUUGUUUAUAGCUUUUAAUACUGUAUCCUGAGCUAGGGGCCCAUUGAUCACUAGAUUUCAUAUGCUACCUCACGUGCUGACCAUUGUGCAUGUAAACUCUUUGGGAAAAAACCAGAAGGGAUUUUGAAGUGAUGAUGACAUGAGCAGAGUCCUGUCUCACCCUCUCAUCCUCACAACAAGGAAUACAUUGUAUUGUCUGUUUGGUACUUGCCAUUUAUUCAGAAUAUACCAUCUAUUCUGAGGGGUGCCCACAUUUAAAUUACAGCUUUUCCCUUCUGACUGUACCUGAGUAAGGGCUAGGAAAGUUUUGGGCUACCACUUGUGCAUUCUGAAGGUGGAAGGGUGGUGGUGUGGGAUCUGUGAAUUCUGUAGUUGGUGUUGUAGUUGUUUAUUUUGGGGGGGCGGGACUCCCUAAACCCUAGAAAUUAAUAAAUGGUAGGAUUUUGAUUGUUUGGGAUAUGAAGGGAGAAUACAAGUCGCAGAGGAAUUCCAGGGCUAGCCUAUGCAAAAACGACCUGACCAAGUGAGGGCCAUUAAGAAACAAUACAAGGCCAUUGAGGGCCAUUGGCAAUGCAAGAGAAUUGCCUUCCCCCUUGCCCUGAGGUGUGAACAGAGACAGGUUUGGAAGGUUGCCAGGGUAGCUGUGUGUAUGACGUGGCAGGAAAAGGGGGUCUCGUAGCAAGGGGCUUUGGGAAGAAGAAGCAGGAAGAAGGCUGGAAUCCAUCUUGGGCAGGCUGGCUGAAGGCUGGCUGCACUGUUGUGGGGUACAAUCCCCUCUUUAAAUUACCAAGCUGUAAGACCUGGACUCCCUUCAUGCAGACUGAAAGUGUAAAUAGGUGAAUAAACCAUACAAAUUCUGUACCAACACUGGAGGAACACUCAUGUCUUGUCCAUGACUCCAACACAUUUUAGAUGUUUGCCAGCAUGCUUUUUAUACCUCGCAUUCCACAAGUUUAGUGGGACCACCAGCUGGUGUAUUUUCAGUAUGGGAUUGCACCAUUAAGUGCACAAUUUUAUUCUGGUAAUCCUCUAUUUGGAUGUAUUGGAAUCAGUCUCUAAAUUCAGCAGUCCCAAGAGCUUGUGCCUAUCUUUCCUUCCCUCCUUUAACUCCAGCUUCCUCUUCUGUCUGUUUAGAUCAGCUUUCCGCAACCUGGUGUCCUCUAGAUAUUUUGGACUACAACACCCAUCAGCACCUGCCAGGAUGGAUCAAGUUGGCUGUGGCUAAUGGGAGUUAAUAAUCCAAAACAUGUUAAGGGCACCAGGUUGGUGGAAAUUGAUUUACAUAAUAAGUUGUUACUACCAAUCUUAUGUUGCAUAUUGUACAGCACCUCGUGAAAUUAAAGUUUUGGUUCCAAUGGAAUACCAUGAACAACAAUGGAAAGUAUCAAUUCCCCAUCCCAUCCCAUGGGAUGCCACAGGGGAGUCUUUCUGUAGGAAAGAGAAAUACUAAAGGGUUGGUGCGUCGAUUUUGGUCCUCCUUAGAUUUGCUCCUCCUGCCAGAAGUUCAAUCCCCACCCCCAGAAGUCUGCUUAGGACUGACAGUCCAUUAAUCAGCACCCAGCCCUGAAUACAAAUAUAUAUGGAAGAGGCAACCCCUCAUUCCUGUUCUCUACUUGGUACUGGGGCAAUUCCCAUGGCCAGCUACAGUUGCAGAAACAGCUGCAUAAUGAACAACCAUAAAUUAACUACAGAUCUUUCUUUGCUGCCUUCAAAAUAUGGGAGGAGCAGGCAUGGAAUGGAAUGAGAUGUUUGGAAUGAUGUGUAAAUUUGACAGGCUGAUUCCCCCCCCCAUUACAUUUGCAUAAUUAGUAUGUCAUACUUGCAUGUUAUGCUAAUAGCAGUUGCCUGGAUUGGAGUCUUGUGUAGACGAACUCUAAAGGUGGUCCUGUUAUACUUGCCAAAUGUCCAAUGAGUAGGACAACCAGCAGCAUCCCUCUUGUGUAGAGUCUCUGCAUAGAAUGUCUCCAAUGGCAUUACUUGUUUGUUUUUAAGCAGGCAUUGUGAUUCUCUGCAGCGAUUGCCAGAUUUGGCCAACUCUCUCACAGACGCAGUGGUGCAGCCACUCCUGUAUGGUCGUUCGGCUUCUGCAGUUUCUACAGCCCCCAAUUUCUUGACUGGUUGAUCCUCGCAGAAGUACCUGCCAAGACUGCAGAAUGGCAGUCUGGCUUCGGAGAGGGUUGGACCUGGUUACUAAGUAGGCACUCUCAGAUUCUGACGGCUGUGAUGAUCGCUAUAUACACUUCUCCAGCAGGAAAGGUCAGCUCAGUCCAAAGAAGGUUGGCUAAUUUCCAUGCAAAAGACAAAGAGGCUGCGGAAAAUGUUGUCCUCCAGACACGAGAUAGAAUACGAGUCAGGGAAUGUAGAGAUUUUAACCGUUUGGACAGAUGUCUGAUCUGUACAGUCUAACCGGAAUGGGAGUAGUUGCCAUGGGAUCUUAACAUGUAUAUUUCGAGUUGGCAGUUUAACACCUUCAUUAUUAACUGAAACCAAGUGGAAUUCUGAUGAGAAGGCAGAUGUUACUUACAGUUCAAUCACCUUGAUUGUGUUAAAUAUUUAUUUUCCAGUCCUGCCUAUAGGCAGUCAGACAUUACUUAGCUGCCACUCAAUUUUUAAAUUUUUUUUGAAAAGGACCACUCAGUUAAUAUUUGAGUUUAAUUAAUUUCAUUCUUACUUGUUCAGCAACAGCCAUGGUUCUCCCAACCUCUGCACAGCUUUCUAUACUUUCUGAAAACAAAGAGAUGGGAGAAAUGGGGAAAUCAAUGGGAAUCAAUAGUAUGAGACAAUCCUGCAGCAACUGAAAGCUGUUACCACAUCGACACAGGUUGCACUCAACACACGUGCAAACGUGUUACCCCAGAGAUGUGGUAUUUCAAGCUCUCGGGUGCAGAGUCAGGCCAUGCCUUAUGAAAGUUGAACCAUGUUUUUAUUACUUGGAUGGAGGCAUGUGGAUUAGCAAGAACCAUUAAGUCCCAGUUAGGGUUCAAAAGGGACGCGGGUGACGCUGUGGGUUAAACCACAGAGCCUAGGACUUGCCGAUCAGAAGGUCGGUGGUUCAAAUCCCCGCGAUGGAGUGAGCUCCCGUUGCUCGAUCCUGCUCCUGCCAACCUAGCAGUUCAAAAGCAAGUCAGUGCAAGUAGAUAAAUAGGUACCACUCCAGUGGGAAGGUAAACGGUGUUUCCAUGGGCUGCUCUUGUUUGCCAGAAGGGGCUUAGUCAUGCUGGCCACAUGACCCGGAAGCUGUACGCCGGCUCCCUCAGCCAAUAAAGCGAGAUGAGUGCCGCAACCCCAGAGUCGGUCACGACUGGACCUAAUGGUCAGGGGGCCCUUUACCUUUAGGGUUCAAAAUAAAUUUGUUAGGGAUUACAGACACUAAAAUGGCACAAGAGAGAACAAUGGUUGCACAGGUUGAAUCCCCAGAGUGGGAUAAUAACAGAAAGUGACUUGAUUAGUUUAAAUAAUACAUAGACUAUACAAAUUCGGCAUUGCCUGGACCAACAGCUUAUCCUGGACCUAUUUUUCUAUGACACAGAAAAAAGAUGGAGGAGCAGGGGAAUAUUACUGUUGCCGUAGAAGAGGUACGGGGAAACUUUGGGCAUCCAGAUGUUGUUGAGCAACAGUGCCCACUACCCCUGCUUUCUGGGGCUGAUAGUUGUAGUUCUGUAACAUCUGGAAGGCCACAAGUUCCCCAAUCCUGCCAUAUAAGGAGCAGUGAGUGAUGCAGAUCUGGUAGGUGGCGCUGGAGGCCUGCAGGUGCACCAGAGAAAGCACAAAUGGAAAUGAUGGGUUUGAGCCGCACAAGGACAGGAAACGCAGUGAACUCUGGGAAAUGGAGCAGAUAGAGAGAGAUCUGUUUUGGAGGAUCCCAUGGAUGUUCAGUGCACUUGUCUCCUAGUGAAACUUGGAAGGUGCAGGUCCCCAGUGGAUGCAGCAGGGAGGAAGGAAAUCCAGUUUGGUAUAGUGGUUAGGUAUUGCUAUAGGUUUAGCUAGACCAUAAAGAAGGCUGAUUGCCGAAGAAUUGAUGCUUUUGAAUUAUGGUGCUGGAGGAGACUCUUGAGAGUCCCAUGGACUGCAAGAAGAACAAACCUAUCCAUUCUGAAGGAAAUCAGCCCUGAGUGCUCACUGGAAGGACAGAUCCUGAAGCUGAGGCUCCAAUACUUGGGCCACUUCAUGAGAAGAGAAGACUCCCUGGAAAAGACCCUGAUGUUGGGAAAGAUGGAGGGCACAAGGAGAAGGGGACGACAGAGGACAAGAUGGUUGGAUAGUGUUCUCGAAGCUACCAGCAUGAGUUUGACCAAACUGAGGGAGGCAGUGGAAGACAGGAGUGCCUGGCGUGCCCUGGUCCAUGGGGUCACGAAGAGUCGGACACGACUAAACAACUAAACAACAACAACAAAUAGUGGUUAGGUGCCACACUAAGACCUGGGAGACCAAGGUUCAAAUUUCCACUCACCUAUGAAGCUCAUUUGUUCUUUAUUUAUUAUUUAAACUUGGCUACUGCUUUUUCUACAUAAGUAUGCCCCAACAAACGACAGAAUAGUAUAGAAAUGAAAUACUAAACAGGAAUACAUAUCAAAACAUUAGUAUGCUAAGCAGUCUAGUACCAGUUCAUUGCAAUUAUAAUGGCAUAACAUUGUGGAUAUGUGCAUGCAACACACGUUUUGUAAACACAUUACAAAAUAAUCAACAAUAUUUUAAUAUGCUCAGUAUCUUAACGCUCGGUUUGCAUAUUUGCUAACUUUUGUUUUGAUUUUAUAUCUUGAUAUAAAGAAUGACAACAUCCCUGCUCUCUCAGUAUUCAGGUUACCAUAAAGUUCUAUUGCAAUCCAUGAAGUCAAUGAUAAGUACGCAAAAGGAAGUCUUAUUUCACAUCCUGAAACACAAAACUGAAGAGAAUGUCUGAGGCAGAAAUUCAAAGUCAGUGUUUUACUUUUUACCUCAGGACUCUUCUCUUGUUUCGUUCAUCAGCAGCUCUAGACUGAGCCAAACUCAUGAAUAAACCCAUCUCAUUAUUCAAAUUGAUGACUACAUAUCAGGCGUCUCGGGCUGUUUCUGCUUUAAUAAAUGAAGGCAGGAGGUUUCAGAUAUGGCUUUGUGUUGUGGUAGAAUGGACGCAGCAGUACUUUUUCAGAUGUGCCCCAACACAGGAAAACAGGGAAUGAGAUACAAGUAGACUUUGCUGUAACUUGUAUGAGUGACUGAGCUCUUAGAAUUGAAUUCUAGUUAAGGGUCACUAACCAAACCAGUAUAAAUUAAUCCUGCUUGUUUAUUUGAAUUGUAAAGUCCAUGUGCAUAGUGAACUGCAAGGAUUGCGUGCAACCCUGUGCUUUUGGCCUAUAGGGUUAAAUCUGAGAGACCCACUUCAAGUCCCCAGUUGGCAAUGACAGUGGCAUGGGAAGCACAAAAUUGUUAGGGGGCACAAAAUUUCAACACCUGGUGCUGCCUCAAUACAGUUGUGCACUUCUGUUGCUGGGCUCCACUGAAAACGGCUUCUCCAUGAGAACCAGGGAGUGACCUCUCCAGAUAAGGGAACAACUCUUCUUAUCUUUGUGGCUGUGGUCUUCCAGGCGGAUGCCAUUAGGCAGUUGACUGCACAUGCGUACUCUGUCCGUUUCCCUCCCUCACACUCACCUCCUGCGUGGCCUCGGGAGCUGGCAACCCACAGUAUGCCACUGACC
rnacentral:lncRNA from 1 species